AUACAGAGGGUGCGAGCGUUAAUCGGAAUUACUGGGCGUAAAGCGCGCGUAGGCGGCUUAUUAAGUCAGAUGUGAAAUCCCCGGGCUCAACCUGGGAACUGCAUCUGAUACUGGUAAGCUAGAGUUUUGGAGAGGGAAGUAGAAUUUCAGGUGUAGCGGUGAAAUGCAUAGAGAUCUGAAGGAAUACCAGUGGCGAAGGCGACUUCCUGGCCAAAAACUGACGCUGAGGUGCGAAAGCGUGGGUAGCAAACAGGAUUAGAAACCCUAGUAGUCC
rnacentral:rRNA from 1 species